GAACAGGAAAUAGCCCAGCACUGAAUCCCGCGGUUGUCUCGAUCGCGGGAGAUGUGGUGUUCGGGAGGUGCCGCAUUCUCGUCGUCGCAUCGCCUGUCCAAGUUCGUCUUGAACGGGGCCGUUUUCCCGUAGAGGGUGCCAGGCCCGUAGCGACGGUGGGCGGCGGCGAGAGGCAUUCUCCUCAGAGUCGGGUUGCUUGAGAGUGCAGCCCUAAGUGGGUGGUAAACUCCAUCUAAGGCUAAAUAUUACCGUGAGACCGAUAGCGAACAAGUACCGUAAGGGAAAGUUGA
rnacentral:rRNA from 1 species